rnacentral:rRNA from 1 species
AUUGAACGCUGGCGGCAUGCUUUACACAUGCAAGUCGAACGGCAGCAUGGGUGCUUGCACCUGAUGGCGAGUGGCGAACGGGUGAGUAAUGUAUCGGAACAUAUCCGCAAGUGGGGGAUAACGUAGCGAAAGUUACGCUAAUACCGCAUAUUCCCUGAGGGGGAAAGGAGGGGAUCCGCAAGGACCUUUCGCUUACGGAGUGGCCGAUAUCAGAUUAGCUAGUUGGUGAGGUAAAGGCUCACCAAGGCGACGAUCUGUAGCGGGUCUGAGAGGAUGAUACGCCAAACUGGGACUGAGACACGGCCCAGACUCCUACGGGAGGCAGCAGUGGGGAAUUUUGGACAAUGGGGGCAACCCUGAUCCAGCCAUGCCGCGUGAGUGAAGAAGGCCUUCGGGUUGUAAAGCUCUUUCAGCCGGAAAAAAAUCGCAUCACCUAAUACGUGGUGUGGAUGAUGGUACCGGAAGAAGAAGCACCGGCUAACUACGUGCCAGCCGCCGCGGUAACAC